rnacentral:rRNA from 1 species
AUGCGCUGCACAGGUUUGACUCUCACUCAGAAGAAGUACUCCUUGGACUUGUUGCGUCGUGCUGGAAUGCUCAAAUGCAAACCUGUUUUCACUCCGAUGUCUGCUACUGAUCGGUUGUCUGCUCUUGAUGGUGACUCUCUCUCGGCUGAUGAUGCUACUGAGUAUCACAGUAUUGUUGGUGGUCUGCAAUAUCUCACUAUCACCAGGCCUGAUAUCUCCUAUGCAGUUAACCGUGUCUGUCAGUUUUUGCAUGCACCCAGGACGUCUCACUGGUCAGCCGUCAAGCGUAUUUUGCGCUAUGUCAGUAGUACUGCUGCCUAUGGUCUGCAUCUUCAGCCUGCACCGUCAUAUGAGCUCUCGGCCUUCUCUGAUGCCGACUGGGCUGGUUGUCCGGAUGACAGGCGAUCCACGGGGGGUUAUGCGGUAUUUCUGGGUCCUAACUUGAUCGCCUGGAAUGCUCGCAAGCAAGCAACUGUGUCUCGCAGCAGUACUGAGGCUGAAUACAAAGCCGUUGCUGAUGCAACUGCUGAGAUCAUAUGGGUACAGUCUCUGUUGAGAGAGUUGCGUGUUCCUCAAGCUCGUCCUCCAGUUCUGUGGUGUGACAACAUUGGUGCUACAUAUCUUUCUUCUAAUCCAGUGUUUCAUGCGAGGACAAAACACAUUGAGGUGGAUUAUCACUUUGUUCGGGAACGUGUUGCACAGAAGCUACUCUGUAUCAAGUUCAUCUCAUCAAAGGAUCAACUUGCUGACAUCUUCACGAAGCCUCUACCACAACCACAGUUUGUAGGCUGUAGGCGCAAUCUUAACUUGCUUUGUACUUCAGGACAUAGUUAA